rnacentral:rRNA from 1 species
AGCAGUGGGGAAUAUUGCACAAUGGGCGCAAGCCUGAUGCAGCCAUGCCGCGUGUAUGAAGAAGGCCUUCGGGUUGUAAAGUACUUUCAGCAGUGAGGAAGUGGGUAUGUUAAUAGCAUACUCAUUUGACGUUAGCUGCAGAAGAAGCACCGGCUAACUCCGUGCCAGCAGCCGCGGUAAUACGGAGGGUGCGAGCGUUAAUCGGAAUUACUGGGCGUAAAGCGCAUGCAGGUGGUUUGUUAAGUCAGAUGUGAAAGCCCGGGGCUCAACCUCGGAAUUGCAUUUGAAACUGGCAAACUAGAGUACUGUAGAGGGGGUAGAAUUUCAGGUGUAGCGGUGAAAUGCGUAGAGAUCUGAAGGAAUACCGGUGGCGAAGGCGGCCCCCUGGACAGAUACUGACACUCAGAUGCGAAAGCGUGGGGAGCAAACAGGAUUAGAUACCCUGGUAG